rnacentral:rRNA from 1 species
AUUGAACGCUGGCGGCGGGCCUAACACAUGCAAGUCGAGCGGAUGAAGGGAGCUUGCUCCUGGAUUCAGCGGCGGACGGGUGAGUAAUGCCUAGGAAUCUGCCUGGUAGUGGGGGAUAACGUCCGGAAACGGGCGCUAAUACCGCAUACGUCCUGAGGGAGAAAGUGGGGGAUCUUCGGACCUCACGCUAUCAGAUGAGCCUAGGUCGGAUUAGCUAGUUGGUGGGGUAAAGGCCUACCAAGGCGACGAUCCGUAACUGGUCUGAGAGGAUGAUCAGUCACACUGGAACUGAGACACGGUCCAGACUCCUACGGGAGGCAGCAGUGGGGAAUAUUGGACAAUGGGCGAAAGCCUGAUCCAGCCAUGCCGCGUGUGUGAAGAAGGUCUUCGGAUUGUAAAGCACGUUAAGUUGGGAGGAAGGGCAGUAAGUUAAUACCUUGCUGUUUUGACGUUACCAACAGAAUAAGCACCGGCUAACUUCGUG